GCGGGUUCGAGUUUUAUUGUUAGAAGGCCGCCUGAGCAGGGCUUGUUCCAGGCCUGCCCCUGGGUAACCUAUCUGGUGGCCUGGGCAAGGAGGCCUCGCUUCGGGUCUUCGAAGCCCGGAAGCGUCAGGGGUUUGUAAGGGUCAAAGUGGUGGUGGCGGCCGUGCCAGCGGGCCUUCCCCUGUGAUGAGGACUUUUUCACAGACCUGUACUGAGUUCCGUGAGGAUGACUAACUCUGAGGAGAGGCCUCCAACUCUUGCUCCAGCAAAGUGUUUCCGAAAUACCCGUUCUUAAUUCUGAAUCGUGUUUGCAGGUUUGGGGCGCGCGUUUGAAUAUGGAAGGGUGGUGGUGCUCCGUCCCUGGAAUGUUAGUUUCAAAGGAAGUCGCGGUUUGGAGAGAGAGAGUUGAGGUUCAUCUUAGAGUUGCAGUGUUACACUGCAGUGUCCUCUAACGAGUCCUAAGGAACUCAGACCUCCCCAGAUGAGAACAGGUUUAUCGGGGUGAUGAUUUAUCUGUUAAGUAAGAUGUUUGGGUACAGAUUUCCAGGAUCAAACUUUUGAAGAGGAUUAAAGAGGAGGCGUUUGUUCAAGAUAACCAUAGGAGUCCUCCAGCAUUCAGAGGUGUUACCACCAGUACCAUGCUUGUUGGCUCAGGUCUAGUGUCUUCCCUAGAAUCGAGGUGACACAAGGGAUAAGUCCUGAUUCCUGAUCUUAUGCCAUAUCAUGACUCACCUCAGACUGAGAUAAGGUCUGAGGAAAGAAGAAUGCUAUCUCAAGGCUCAUGAGUUGGGUGUGGUGGUGCCUGUCCCAGCAGAGGCAGGCAGAUCUGAGAUCAAAGCCGGCUGGGAUUACGGGACGAUCCUGUCUCAAAAAAUUGAAACAGGUCAUUAAUGCUACUUUAAAAGUGUAGUGACCCUUGUGUUACAUAUGUGUGCUUUCCCUAAGAACUCUACUUUUACAAGAGUCCCAAGUCUUCAAAAGACAUUUCAGAUCUUGGAAACUUAGCCAUUCAGGAUUGUGAUCAUUUUCCUAAUAAAGCAGUUCUUUAACUUUUAA